AGAGAGAGACAUGCGCGCAUAUCAAUAAGCGGAGGAAAAGAAACUAACUAGGAUUCCCUCAGUAACGGCGAGUGAAGCGGGAAGAGCUCAAAUUUGAAAUCUUCAAGGUUCUACCUUGACGAAUUGUAGUUUAAAGAAGUGUUUUCUGUUGGAGUUUUGGUAAAAGUUCUUUGGAAUAGGACAUCAUAGAGGGUGAGAAUCCCGUAUUUGACCAUUAUUUCCAGCUUUGUGAUACACUUUCAAAGAGUCGGAUUGUUUGGGAAUGCAGUCCAAAAUGGGUGGUAAAUUUCAUCUAAAGCUAAAUAUUGGCGAGAGACCGAUAGCGAACAAGUACCGUGAGGGAAAGAUGAAAAGAACUUUGAAAAGAGAGUUAAACAGUACGUGAAAUUGUCAAAAGGGAAGCGUUUGACACCAGUGUUGUUUUCUCGAAAAUCAAUUAAAAAAGGCAGGAUUUUGUGUUGUAUUGACUUUAUCAGCUUUCUGCACUCUUUUCUUGUCUUUUUUAAUGCACUUUUCAGUUAACAAGUCAACAUCGAUUUCUUUUGUUGUAAAAGGGUCAUUGGAAGGUGGCUUUCUUUUCGGAGAAAGUGUUUAUAGCCUUUGGCCUCUGCAAUCGGAGAGAUUGAGGUCUGCAGCGUAGAUCCUUCGGGGUUAGAUACAUUUGUGCUAAGUUAUAGCCUUUCAUAGACAACUUGUUGACUAUGAUCAGUCAUGUAGCUUACUCGCUUAUGCUAUUUUACCUACGCUUAGGAUGUUGAUGUGAUACUGCGAGCA
rnacentral:rRNA from 1 species